ACGACUGCUGCAAAACCGACGCUGAACACGAUUUUCGCUUUUCGCCUUUUGUCGUAAAAAUGAAACUCCCCUUCGGGUUUCUUAACAUUACGGAAAACGGGUACUAACACAGGUCCUUCCUAAAAGCGAAGUGGCAUAGCGGGAACUUUCGAAAAGCGGAGGAUACGUGUAAUUGCUCUCCUUUUUGGCUGCCUAAUAUUCACCACCCCCCAGCACGCACACACACAUAUAUUGUGUGUGUGUGUGUGUGUGUGUGUGUGUGUGUGUGUGUGUGUGUGACAACAGUUCCUAAUGUCCUUAUGAGGAAUUACCUAUUUCCAAUAGCAAGUGGUUUUAUUGGAACUGUCAAUGCAGUUGCCAGGGAGUGAGCCCAUAACGCCAAGGUAGGCCAGCUGAACUCAGGACUUUGAACUUGAUCAGAAAUGGAACAAAAUAUAAAACACCAGAAAAAGCAUACCCGCAUUCGUUCCAUCAUCAUCUCCUAGUGAGGCCGUUGAAACAUUCCUGCUUCCAGACCCUUGGUGCCCUGAAUAUCUGUCCUUUGAUGAGCCUGUUCUCCAGUCCUUCCCAUCGAUUCUGUCCCCAGAGUUGUAGCCAUGAACAAAUAACACAGUUCUGGGGCGGGGCACGCAGCCCACUUUACAGCAGGAGAGACAGACUCCCAGCCAAGAGUCGAGAGGUUCCCUUCUUCCUGCUACUCGGUGACAAGCAAAUGCAGGCCACCCCUUGGGAAGGAACCUGGGCAUGAUAUCAAGGUGGAGAAGUGUUGUUAUCCUAAUGAUGUUGAGCAACUGCAAAAGCAAUAUUGAUGUAUUUGAUAAAGGCUGAAAUUCCGAGCCAUCACAUGGAGAAGAGCUUCUUCAGCAGGUUUCCCAGACCUACAGUGGAUUUUACAGAACACUGUACCGGCAACCAAAGGAGCGUCACUCGGUCCCAGAAGAAUGAGAAAAUGAAGUUUGUACAAGGCCUGGGGCAGAGCAGGAAAGCAACAUGGUUUCUAAGCACAGUUCCAAGCCUGAGGAGAAUCUCGAUUUAUGGACUCAUGACAAUGGCUUCUCUGCUUACAAUUAAGAUUCUGAUCAUAUAACAUCGUCUCAGCGUCUCGAAGGGAGAGGUGCCGCUGCUGGCUUGACAAAGGGAGCUGCCCAGGCAGCAAGGAAGUGCAGACCUCCAGGAAUUGGAAGCAGGCCCAGUGACCGCCAGCGAGAAAAUAGGGACCUCGGUCCCACAGCUGCCAAGACUUGAAUUCUGCCCACUACCAAAUGUCCUAGAAGAGGCCGACAGCUUGCCUGCAGCCUUGUGGAACCUGGAACCAAGGACCCAGUGAAGCCAUAUUCGGACUCCUGCCCCUCAGAAACUCUGAGAUAAUAAAUGUAGGUUGUCCUAA